rnacentral:rRNA from 1 species
CACCGCGGUUAUACGAGGGACCCAAGUUGAUAUUUUACGGCGUAAAGAGUGGUUAAGGAAAACAUAAACUAAAGCCGCACCUUAUUAGGGCCGUUAUACGCGUACAAUAAGGGGAAGGCCAAUAACGAAAGUAGCUUUAUAACACCCGACCCCACGAAAACUAUGGCA